rnacentral:lncRNA from 1 species
GUGGCUGACUCUCAAAGACCAAUCCUUCCAUCCCUUGGUAGGACUGGGCUAGGAACGAUAGGUAUCUUUCCAUAGAUCUAGGGAGAAGUUUUCGGCUCUAAAAGGAACUCUGUUUGUCUCUGCGUUUAUCAGAUCGGUGGGAUCUGGGUUUCCUAGCGGGCUAAGACAUUGGAGGUGAGGUUGAUCGGUAGGAAUAACGAUCUUAUCGGCCAAAUCCUAGGAAUUUUUGAGGG